GACGAACGCUGGCGGCGUGCUUAACACAUGCAAGUCGAACGGUGAAGCGCCUUCCUUUUUGGUGGGUGUGGAUGAGUGGCGAACGGGUGAGUAACACGUGAGUAACCUGCCCCCUUCUUCUGGAUAACCGCAUGAAAGUGUGGCUAAUACGGGAUAUUCUGGGUCUGUCGCAUGAUGGGUCUGGGAAAGAUAUUGUUUCGGUGGGGGAUGGGCUCGCGGCCUAUCAGCUUGUUGGUGGGGUGAUGGCCUACCAAGGCGGUGACGGGUAGCCGGCCUGAGAGGGUGGACGGUCACACUGGGACUGAGACACGGCCCAGACUCCUACGGGAGGCAGCAGUGGGGAAUAUUGCACAAUGGGCGCAAGCCUGAUGCAGCGACGCCGCGUGAGGGAUGGAGGCCUUCGGGUUGUGAACCUCUUUCGCCAGUGAAGCAGGCCUGCCACGUUUGUGGGUGGGUUGACGGUAGCUGGAUAAGAAGCGCCGGCUAACUACGUG
rnacentral:rRNA from 1 species